UAGAAAAAAUAUAUAAACUGCAAAAAAAAACAACGUUUUUUAACUCCUUUCUUAUAGGAAUUACUCCUUUUAAAAUGCAACUACAAAUUAGUUACCUCUUUCAAAAUAUUCUAUAUCUGUAUAUACUCAUAUGACCUGUGUGAUUUCAUUUUAAUUUCUCCUACAAGAGAAAACAAAUCAUCCCUUCUUUUUCUUCACAAAAUGAGACGGAUUUCGUAAGUCCGUGAUGAAUUUUAAUAUUUUUCGUUGAAUUUUGACCGAGACAGUGACAACAUCGCCUGAUGUUUGAAUUCCAAUGGUGAUGCGUGGUUUUUGUUGAUGGGAGUCCAUGGUUCCCCAGUGAUGGAGCGGCGGGGGAGUUGGAGAUCGGAGCAGGAGAGGAGACGACAACUGUUGGUGUUAGUCGGUCGGCGACGACGAGUGUUGGUGGUAGUCGGUCGGCGACGACGUCGGCGACGGCUGUUGGACGCACAAUUGGAAAAAUGGCACAAACGAAGGAGAAUACCAAGCAGAUGUUGUCUAAA